rnacentral:rRNA from 1 species
UACGGAAGGCAGCAGUGGGGAAUAUUGCACAAUGGGCGAAAGCCUGAUGCAGCUAUGCCGCGUGUAUGAAGAAGGCCUUAGGGUUGUAAAGUACUUUCAUCGGGGAGGAAAAAACAAAACUAAUAAUUUUAUUUCUUGACGUUACCCGAAAAAGAAGCACCGGCUAACUCCGUGCCAGCAGCCGCGGUAAUACGGAGGGUGCUAGCGUUAAUCAGAAUUACUGGGCGUAAAGAGCACGUAGGUGGUUUUUUUAAGUCAGAUGUGAAAUCCCUGGGCUUAACCUGGAACUGCAUUUUGAAACUGAAAUACUAGAGUAUCGUAGAGGGAGGUAGAAUUCUAGGUGUAGCGGUGAAAUGCGUAGAUAUCUGGAGGAAUACCUGUGGCGAAACGGCCUCCUAAACGAAUACUGACACUGAGGUGCGAAAGCGUGGGGAGCAAACAGGGAUUAGAUACC